GCAGUGGUGAUUCACUAGAAUUUUCACCUUCCAUGCCAGAGAUCUGGGUUAGAUUCCUGGCCAGUGCA
rnacentral:tRNA from 1 species